GACGAACGCUGGCGGCGUGCUUAACACAUGCAAGUCGAACGGAAAGGCCCUGCUUUUGUGGGGUGCUCGAGUGGCGAACGGGUGAGUAACACGUGAGUAACCUGCCCUUGACUUUGGGAUAACUUCAGGAAACUGGGGCUAAUACCGGAUAGGAGCUCCUGCUGCAUGGUGGGGGUUGGAAAGUUUCGGCGGUUGGGGAUGGACUCCCGGCUUAUCAGCUUGUUGGUGGGGUAGGGGCUUACCAGGGCUUUGACGGGUAGCCGGCCUGAGAGGGUGACCGGCCACAUUGGGACUGAGAUACCGCCCAGACUCCUACGGGAGGCAGCAGUGGGGAAUAUUGCACAAUGGGCGGAAGCCUGAUGCAGCAACGCCGCGUGCGGGAUGACGGCCUUCGGGUUGUAAACCGCUUUCGCCUGUGACGAAGCGUGAGUGACGGUAAUGGGUAAAGAAGCACCGGCUAACUACGUG
rnacentral:rRNA from 1 species